rnacentral:lncRNA from 1 species
ACUCCCACCUGGAGACCCUGCAGCUGCUGAGGACUGCACAGCUCCCAGAACAGAUUUCGCUCCCUCCAUUGUCUGCUCUAUCCAGAUACACCCUGGUGUCCCCAGCUGGGUGCCCGAUGAAUCCUGAACUGCUGGGCAAAGGUUGGGCAGAGACUUCUGGGUGUGCCUUGGCUCCCAAGGUGGCACUGUGGGUCCCUGGCAAGUGUCUUGUGAUAGGCAGUCCCUGGCAGGGCCUUCGGGUGGUUGGCAAGCCCAGGAUCUGAGUGGCAAUUGGCACUGAAGGCACCCCAGGCCCCUGGGAGGUGAGUUAGACAGCCCAGGGGACCAGGUGGACCAGGUGGUGGCCAGAGAGGCUCCAGGGGCUAGACUCCCUCAGGAGGCUGAAUUGAAAAAGGGCAGGGGGCACUUGAGCUGGGCUGGGGCUCAGGGGUCCUAACCCUUUAGGCAGUGACAUGGCCUCUGGGUGGGGUCUGGCCGUUGGCCCUGGCUAAUGUCUCUCAGUCAUUCCCCUGGGGCUCAAGCGCUGGGCCGCCCACUCCUGCCUCCCUCAUCUGUGUCCCGAGUUCCUGA